AGGGUUAAGCACUCUUCCAAUGAGGGUGAGAGCGUUAUCUCUGAUGAGGGCCGAUGUGUCUAGCUCUGGAGCCUUUAUGCGACGGCGAGCAGGUUCUUUUGAGCGGUGUAGAGAGGCCGCAGAAUACUGAGAAGACAUGGUUGUAGUAAGCAGGCGUUGGUGGUAGGCUCAAAACGAGGGUCUGGUGAAAAUGGAGCAGGAGACUAGGAACCGACCGUGAGGAGUACCGUCGACUCAGCGUCGGUCUUUACCGCGAACCCGGAAGAGUUAACCGGCGAAACAAAACUCCAAAUAUCCAACGGUUACUUCCAU
rnacentral:lncRNA from 1 species